rnacentral:rRNA from 1 species
ACUUACCUACUCUUGACAUCCAGAGAACUUUCCAGAGAUGGAUUGGUGCCUUCGGGAACUCUGAGACAGGUGCUGCAUGGCUGUCGUCAGCUCGUGUUGUGAAAUGUUGGGUUAAGUCCCGCAACGAGCGCAACCCUUAUCCUUUGUUGCCAGCGGUCCGGCCGGGAACUCAAAGGAGACUGCCAGUGAUAAACUGGAGGAAGGUGGGGAUGACGUCAAGUCAUCAUGGCCCUUACGAGUAGGGCUACACACGUGCUACAAUGGCGCAUACAAAGAGAAGCGACCUCGCGAGAGCAAGCGGACCUCAUAAAGUGCGUCGUAGUCCGGAUUGGAGUCUGCAACUCGACUCCAUGAAGUCGGAAUCGCUAGUAAUCGUAGAUCAGAAU